GACGAACGCUGGCGGCGUGCCUAAUACAUGCAAGUAGAACGCACAGUUUAUACCGUAGCUUGCUACACCAUAGACUGUGAGUUGCGAACGGGUGAGUAACGCGUAGGUAACCUGCCUGGUAGCGGGGGAUAACUAUUGGAAACGAUAGCUAAUACCGCAUAAUAUUGAUUAUUGCAUGAUAAUUGAUUGAAAGAUGCUAUUGCAUCACUACCAGAUGGACCUGCGUUGUAUUAGCUAGUAGGUGAGGUAACGGCUCACCUAGGCGACGAUACAUAGCCGACCGAGAGGGUGAUCGGCCACACUGGGACUGAGACACGGCCCAGACUCCUACGGGAGGCAGCAGUAGGGAAUCUUCGGCAAUGGACGAAAGUCUGACCGAGCAACGCCGCGUGAGUGAAGAAGGUUUUCGGAUCGUAAAGCUCUGUUGUAAGAGAAGAACGGGUGUGAGAGUGGAAAGUUCACACUGUGACGGUAUCUUACCAGAAAGGGACGGCUAACUACGUG
rnacentral:rRNA from 1 species